rnacentral:rRNA from 1 species
AGAGUUUGAUCGUGGCUCACAACGAACGCUGGCGGCGCGCCUAACACAUGCAAGUCGAACGGAGUUAAUGUUGUAGCAAUACAGCAUUAACUUAGUGGCGAAAGGGUGAGUAACACGUAGGUAACCUACCCUCUGGAUGGGGAUACUCCCGGGAAACCGGGCUUAAUACCGAAUAUUGUCCAUAAGUGCAAUUCUUAUGGAUGAAAGUCUUGAGCAAUCAAGGCGCCAGAGGAUGGGCCUGCGGCCUAUCAGCUUGUUGGUGAGGUGAUGGCUCACCAAGGCUAAGACGGGUAGCCGAACUGAGAGGUUGGUCGGCCACACUGGGACUGAGACACGGCCCAGACUCCUACGGGAGGCAGCAGUGGGGAAUCUUGCGCAAUGGGCGAAAGCCUGACGCAGCGACGCCGCGUGGAGGAAGAAGGCCCUCGGGUUGUAAACUCCUUUCGUGAGGGAAAAAGUGCUGAGCAAUCAGCAUGAUGGUACCUCAAGAAGAAGCCACGGCUAACUCUGUGCCAGCAGCCGCGGUAAGACAGAGGUGGCAAGCGUUGUUCGGAUUUACUGGGCUUAAAGGGCGUGUAGGCGUCCUGAUAAGUCAGGUGUGGAAUCCCUGAGCUUAACUCAGGAAUUGCAUCUGAAACUGUCAGGACUGAGUCAUACAUGGGAGGGCGGAAUUCCUGGUGUAGCGGUGAAAUGCGUAGAUAUCAGGAGGAAGGCCGGUGGCGAAGGCGGCCCUCUGGGUAAUGACUGACGCUGAGGCGCGAAAGCGUGGGGAGCAAACAGGAUUAGAUACCCUGGUAGUCCACGCCCUAAACGGUGGGUACUCGGUGUGGGUGGCAAUAGCCAUCUGUGCCCAAGGGAAACCAUUAAGUACCUCGCCUGGGGAGUAUGACCGCAAGGUUGAAACUCAAAGGAAUUGACGGGGGCCCGCACAAGCGGUGGAGCAUGUGGUUUAAUUCGACGCUACGCGAAGAACCUUACCUGGGCUUGACAUGCUGGUAGUAAGAACCUGAAAGGGGGAUGAUCCUGGGGUAACUCAGGGAGCCAGCACAGGUGCUGCAUGGCUGUCGUCAGCUCGUGCCGUGAGGUGUUGGGUUAAGUCCCGCAACGAGCGCAACCCUCAUCCUCUGUUGGUCUUUUGACCUCUCUGAGGAAACUGCCAGCGAUAAGCUGGAGGAAGGUGAGGACGACGUCAAGUCAUCAUGGCCCUUACGCCCAGGGCUACACACGUGCUACAAUGGUAGGUACAAAGGGUUGCUAAUCCGUGAGGAGGAGCCAAUCCCAAAAAGCCUAUCCAAGUUGGGAUCGGAGUCUGCAACUCGACUCCGUGAACGCGGAAUCGCUAGUAAUCGUGGAUCAGCACGCCACGGUGAAUACGUUCCCGGGCCUUGUACACACCGCCCGUCACACCACGAAAGUCAGUUGUACCCGAAGUGGGUGAG